CCGAGUUAUUCAACUCAUCAACCCUGUGAACUUACCUAUACGUUGCUUCGGCGGGAAUAGACGGCCCCGUAAAACGGGCCGCCCCCGCCAGAGGACCCUUAACUCUGUUUCUUUUAGUGUAUCUUCUGAGUAAAACAAGCAAAUAAAUUAAAACUUUCAACAACGGAUCUCUUGGCUCUGGCAUCGAUGAAGAACGCAGCGAAAUGCGAUAAGUAAUGUGAAUUGCAGAAUUCAGUGAAUCAUCGAAUCUUUGAACGCACAUUGCGCCCGCCAGUAUUCUGGCGGGCAUGCCUGUUCGAGCGUCAUUACAACCCUCAGGCCCCCGGGCCUGGCGUUGGGGAUCGGCGGAGCCCCCCGUGGGCACACGCCGUCCCCCAAAUACAGUGGCGGUCCCGCCGCAGCUUCCAUCGCGUAGUAGCUAACACCUCGCGACUGGAGAGCGGCGCGGCCACGCCGUAAAACACCCAACUCUUCUGAA
rnacentral:ncRNA from 1 species